rnacentral:rRNA from 1 species
ACGAACGCUGGCGGCGUGCUUAACACAUGCAAGUCGAACGGUGAACUCCGCUUGCGGGGGGAUCAGUGGCGAACGGGUGAGUAACACGUGGGCAACCUGCCCUCAGCUCUGGGAUAACUCCAAGAAAUUGGGGCUAAUACCGGAUAUGACCGCUGACCGCAUGGUCUGGUGGUGGAAAGAUUUAUCGGCUGGGGAUGGGCCCGCGGCCUAUCAGCUUGUUGGUGGGGUAGUGGCCCACCAAGGCGACGACGGGUAGCCGGCCUGAGAGGGUGACCGGCCACACUGGGACUGAGACACGGCCCAGACUCCUACGGGAGGCAGCAGUGGGGAAUAUUGCGCAAUGGGCGAAAGCCUGACGCAGCGACGCCGCGUGGGGGAUGACGGCCUUCGGGUUGUAAACCUCUUUCAGCAGGGACGAAGCGAAAGUGACGGUACCUGCAGAAGAAGCACCGGCCAACUACGU